rnacentral:rRNA from 1 species
ACGGAAGGUCCAGGCGUUAUCCGGAUUUAUUGGGUUUAAAGGGAGCGUAGGCCGCUUGGUAAGCGGGCAGUGAAAUGCAGAGGCUCAACCUCUGACUUGCUGUUCGAACUGCCGGGCUUGAGUACGCACGAGGUAGGCGGAAUUUGUGGUGGAGCGGUGAAAUGCUUAGAUACCACAAAGAACGCCAAUUGCGAAGGCAGCUUACCGGAGCGCAACUGACGCUUAAGCUCGUAAGUGCGGGUAAAGAACAG